GCCAGGUGCGGUGCCACCCACCUGUAAUCCCAGCUACUCAGGAGGCUGAGGCAGGAGGAUUGCAAUUUCAAGUCCAGCUGGGCAACUUUGUGGGAACCUGUCUCAA
rnacentral:sRNA from 1 species